UACGUAGGGGGCUAGCGUUGUCCGGAAUCAUUGGGCGUAAAGAGCGUGUAGGCGGCCCGGUAAGUCCGCUGUGAAAGUCGGGGGCUCAACCCUCGAAUGCCGGUGGAUACUGUCGGGCUAGAGUGCGGAAGAGGCGAGUGGAAUUCCUGGUGUAGCGGUGAAAUGCGCAGAUAUCAGGAGGAACACCAGCGGCGAAGGCGGCUCACUGGGCUCCACCUGACGCUGAGGCGCGAAAGCGUGGGGAUCAAACAGG
rnacentral:rRNA from 1 species